rnacentral:rRNA from 1 species
CAGUAGCCACGGGAAUACAGAGGGUGCGAGCGUUAAUCGGAUUUACUGGGCGUAAAGCGUGCGUAGGCGGCUUUUUAAGUCGGAUGUGAAAUCCCUGAGCUUAACUUAGGAAUUGCAUUCGAUACUGGGAAGCUAGAGUAUGGGAGAGGAUGGUAGAAUUCCAGGUGUAGCGGUGAAAUGCGUAGAGAUCUGGAGGAAUACCGAUGGCGAAGGCAGCCAUCUGGCCUAAUACUGACGCUGAGGUACGAAAGCAUGGGGAGCAAACAGGAUUAGAUACCCCGGUAGUCCCUGUCUCUUAUAA